rnacentral:rRNA from 1 species
AUUGAACGCUGGCGGCAUGCCUUACACAUGCAAGUCGAACGGCAGCACGGGACCUUGCUCCUGGUGGCGAGUGGCGAACGGGUGAGUAAUACAUCGGAACGUACCCUGAAGUGGGGAGUAACGUAGCGAAAGUUACGCUAAUACCGCAUAUUCUGUGAGCAGGAAAGAGGGGGAGUCGCAAGACCUCUUGCUUUAGGAGCGGCCGAUGUCGGAUUAGCUAGUUGGUGAGGUAAAGGCUCACCAAGGCGACGAUCCGUAGCUGGUCUGAGAGGACGACCAGCCACACUGGAACUGAGACACGGUCCAGACUCCUACGGGAGGGCAGCAGUGGGGAAUUUUGGACAAUGGGCGCAAGCCUGAUCCAGCCAUUCCGCGUGAGUGAAGAAGGCC